CGCGCGGGCCGGCGCCUGCCGCUCCGGGAGCGCUGGAUUCUCGCGCUCCGGGUGUUAGAGGCCGCCGGGAAGCUGCACCCGAGACCCUUAACAGGAAGCUGUGGUUUUUGCACCGAGUUUGCCGGAGGGUAGUGGGCAAGUAAAGUACUGGAUUUGAGGCCCUUGGAUGCGUUUUGCUGGAGGAGAUCUCAGACCCUUCAAGGUUCUUUGCUUCACUUCUGUUGUCCGCUGAUCGCUCCCGGAAUCCUCCUGAAACACCGAGCACACGCCAGACGAAUUUAGCUUCGGUGGUCACGAGUUCUCAACCUUUAGGGCAGGUUCCCGCCCCUCUCUUAGCCAGCGUGGCCAGACCACUGACGUUCUAGACUUGAAAGCUCCUCCUCCCGGGAAGGCUUGCAGGCUCUGCACCGAGGCGAUCAUCCACGGGCAAGCUUUGGCUAAGUAUUCCUGGGGCUUGAGGUUCUCACUUGGAGUUCUAGGCGUGCGUCCUGCCCGCAGUCAGCUGCCCCGAGCGCCUCGGCGAGGUGCCGGAGUGCGCUCGCCUCUGGGAGCCACCUGCUCCCACUCUUUGGCAAAUAACUUUCCAACAUCCCCUAAGCAGCUAGGUGGGAUGGUUUGUGGUCGCGGUAGCUGCAGCCCUCCUGCCCCGGGCAGCUUUCUAAGAGGAGCCUCACCAGCCGGCCUCCCUGGUGACUAUGGUUCCUUCGUUCCUCAUUCCCUACACCUACGGUCCAGAAAGGACUGAAUACCUGGAGCCCGACAGACAAUCACCAAAACCCAAUGGUAGCACCCGGCAAACACCAACCCGGGUCCCACCAAUAUUUCUCUACCUGACUGAAAUAUCGCGUCGUCUUUCUGAAAACAUGAUCCUCCCUAGUGCCAGGAGGGAGAGGAGCCUCCAAACUGAUCAAAUGUUGGCAGUUAGUUAACCUUUCAAUGAACCUGUCCAGAUAACAUGUGUGUUAGAGCAUCUCAAAUACAUUGCUUCCCGGUAUAGAUGAUAUUGGUGGAAUCUCUCCUACGACUGAUCGACGGUGAUGAGGUGUUAUAUGAUGUUAUAUGAUGCUUAACUUAUACCCCAUACACUAUUCUAAGUGGUGUGCAUGAAUUAAUUCGUUUACUACGGAAAGACACUAGGACUUGCUUACUUUAUCUGUCAAGUAAUGGCAAUGCUGUACACAUCCUCACUACAAAAUAGACCUGAGUAUAUAAUUUUUUAAUUUUAGAAUAUAUACACCUUUAUUAGAUAUUCUAAAUUGCUUUCCUAACAUUUAUGAAUGAGAGGGAUUUCCUCACAUUCUCAUAAUUUUGUCAUAAAUGUCAUAUAGAUACUUGUAUUAUAAUUAAUUUAUAUGUUCAUGUCGAUAAUGAAUAUGGUUAUCUUUCAUGUGUUUCCCCCUCCCCAGGUGCUUUUUAUUGUCUUAGAAUUGCACACAAACCUGUUAAUCCAAUUUAUCUCGAAUAGUUCAUUUUCUUAUGAAAAAGGUUUAUUAUGUUUUUAGAGACAGGGUCUCACUCUGUAGCCCUGCCUGGCCUGGAACCUGCAAUCCUCCUGCCUUAAGCUGCCAAGUCUGCGGUGCACCAGCACACCCCACUUGAAAAGGACUCAUUCUCAAGUCUCUCUUUCUUUAACAAGCUGCUGGAUUUUCACUGGUUGUUGUUUUGUUUCGUUUUCAUACAGACUCGUGUAAACAGUUGACCUGUGCUUUGGAAAGUUGUGGGGGAAGUCUUGCUUUAUUCUGUUUAGCUUGUCCUUGGAAUGGGACGGGCUGUCAAAGCUGUUAUGUUUCUCAAGAAAAAGAAACAGUAUUGGGUAAUUUAUUUUUUUCCUCCUUCCUGGAAUAUUUUAUAAAGAUAUAAAGCCUAUGUCCUUUGGAAAA
rnacentral:lncRNA from 1 species